GCCAUUUUGACAACAUAGAGAUGUCUUUCUCUGUAGUCCCAGCUAUUCGGGAGGCUGAGGCUGGAGGAUCUCUUGAGUCCAGGAGUUCUGGGCUGUAGUGCACUAUGCCGAUUGGGUGUCCACACUAAGUUCAGCAUCAAUAUGGUGACCUCCCGGGAGCGGGGGACCACCAAGUUGCCUAAGGAGGGGUGAACCAGCCCAGGUCAGAAACAGAGCAGGUCAAAACUCCAGUGCUGAUCAGUAGUGGGAUCACGACUGUGAAUAGCCACUGCACUCCAGCCUGGGCAACAUAGCGAGACCCUGUCUCU
rnacentral:SRP_RNA from 1 species